rnacentral:rRNA from 1 species
GUCUGUGGCCAUGCCACCUUGUAUGCACCCGAAUUCUUCUGAUCUCAGGAGCUAAAUGGAGUAGGACUUGGUUAAACAGUCAAAGAGA